rnacentral:rRNA from 1 species
AUUGAACGCUGGCGGCAGGCCUAACACAUGCAAGUCGAAAGAGUGGCGGACGGGUGAGUAAUAUAUGGGAAACUGCUCGAUGGAGGGGGAUAACUACUGGAAACGGUAGAGAAUACCACAUACCCUCGGAAGUGCCGCGAUGGGAUUCGCUAGGAGGUGGGGUAACGGCUUACCUAGGCGACGAUCCCUAGAUGUUCUGAGAGGAUGACCAGCCACCCUGGAACUGAGACACGGUCCAGACUCCUACGGGAGGCAGCAGUGGGGAAUAUUGCACAAUGGGCGCAAGCCUGAUGCAGCCAUGCCGCGUGUAUGAAGAAGGCCUUCGGGUUGUAAAGUACUUUCAGUGAGAAGGCGUUACUCACAGAAGAAGCACCGGCUAACUCCGUGCCAGCCGCCGCGGUAAUAC